ensembl:lncRNA
UAAAAUAAAUAAACACACAAAGAAGUGCCAAUCAUUUGGUAUUGAAGGACACAACAUGUAAUAUGGGAGAUGUGAUAUGGGAGGAGUUGUGAUAUGGGAGGGUGUUGUAAUGUGGGAGGAGUUGUGAUAUGGGAGGGUGUUGUAAUGUGGGAGGACUUGUGAUAUGGGUGUUGUAAUGUGGGAGGACUUGUGAUAUGGGAGGAGUUGUAAUAUGGGAGGGUGUUGUGAUUUGGGAGGACUUGUGAUAUGGGAGGGUGUUGUAAUGUGGGAGGACUUGUGAUAUGGGAGGACUUGUGAUAUGGGAGGGUGUUGUAAUGUGGGAGGAGUUGUGAUUUGGGAGUUGUAAUAUGGGAGGAGUUGUGAAUAUGGGAGGGUGUUGUAAUGUGGG